rnacentral:rRNA from 1 species
CCUACGGGAGGCAGCAGUAGGGAAUCUUUCACAAUGGGCGAAAGCCUGAUGGAGCAACGCCGCGUGCAGGAUGAAGGCCUUCGGGUUGUAAACUGCUUUUAUAAGCGAGAAAUAUGAUGGUAACUUAUGAAUAAGGAUCGGCUAACUACGUGCCAGCAGCCGUGGUCAUACGUAGGAUCCGAGCAUUAUCCGGAGUGACUGGGUGUAAAGAGUUGCGUAGGUGGCAUAAUAAGUAGCUAGUGAAAUCUGGUGGCUCAACCAUUCAGACUAUUAGCUAAACUGUUAAGCUCGAGACCGUUAGGGGUAACUGGAAUUUCUAGUGUAGGAGUGAAAUCCGUAGAUAUUAGAAGGAACACCAAUAGCGUAGGCAGGUUGCUGGGACGGUUCUGACACUAAGGCACGAAAGCGUAGGGAGCAAACGGGAUUAGAUACCCCAGUAGUC